rnacentral:tRNA from 1 species
GCCUGGGUGGCUCAGUCGGUUGAGCAUCCGACUUCUGCUCGGGUCAUGAUCUUACAGUUUGUGGUUAGAGCCCCACGUCGGGCU